ensembl:lncRNA
CAACAGAGACUUCCACAAACACUACUACUGAUGAAACAUCCACCACUAGUUUAUCAGAAACAUCUACAACAACAGAGACUUCCAUAAUCAUGACUCCUGCUGAAGCAUCCACCACUAUUGCAGCAGAACCAUCAAAAACAACAGAGACUUCCACAAUCAUGACUCCAGAUAAAACAUCCACCACUAGUGCAAUAGAAACAUCUACAACAUCAGAGACUUCCACAAUCAUGACUCCUGCUGAAACAUCCAUCAGUAGUUUAGUAGAAACAUCUACAACAUCAGAGACUUCCACAAUCUCCACUCCUGAUGAAACAUCCACCACUAGUUUAGCAGAAACAUCUAUUACAACAAAGACUUCCACAAUCAUCACUCCUGAUGAAACAUCCACUACUAGUUUAUCAGAAACAUCUACAUCAACAGAGACUUACACAAUCAGCAAAAACAUCUAUUACAACAAAGACUUCCACAAUCAUCACUCCUGAUGAAACAUCCACUACUAGUUUAUCAGAAACAUCUACAUCAACAGAGACUUACACAAUCACAACGCCUGCUGAAACAUUUACAACAACUGAGACUUCCACAAUCAUGACUCCUGCUGAAACAUCCACCAGUAGUUUAGCAGAAACAUCUACAAAAACACUGACAUUCACAAGCACGAUACCUGAUGAAACAUCCACCACUAGUUUAGUAGAAACAUCUACAACAAUAGAGACUUCCACAAUUACAACUCUUGAUGAAACAUCUACCACUAGUUUAGCAGAGACACCUACAUCAACAGAGACUUCCACAAUCACAACUCCUGAUGAAACAUCCACUACUAGUUUAGCAGAACCAUCUAUAACAACAGAGACUUCCAAAAUCACAACUCCUCAUGAAACAACCACCACUAGUGCACCAGAAACAUCUACAACAACAGAGACUUCCACAGUCACGACUCCUCCUGACACAUCCACCACUAGUUUAGCAGAAACAUCUACAACAACAGAGACUCCCACAAUCACGACUCCUGCUGAAACAUCAAUUACUAGUACACCAGAAACAUCUACAUCAACAGAGACUUCCACAGUCACGACUCCUCCUGAAACAUCCACCACUAGUUUAGCAGAAACAUCUACAAAAAAACAGACUUUCACAAUCACAACACCUGAUGAAAUAUCCACCACUAGUUUAGCAGAAACAUCUACAACAAAAGAGACUUCCACACUCAUGACUCCUGAUGAAAUAUACACCACUAAUGUAGCAGAAACAUCUAAAUCAACAGAGACUUCCACAAUCAUGACUACUGAUGAAGCAUCCACCACUAGUGCACCAGAAACAUCUACAACAACAGAGACUUCCACAACCAUGACUCCUGCUGAAACAUCCACCACUAGUGAGGCAGAAACAUCUACAACAAUAGAGACUUCCACAAUCAUGACUCCUGAUGAAAUAUACACCACUAGUGUAGCAGAAACAUCUAAACCAACAGAGACUUCCACAAUCAUGACUACUGAUGAAGCAUCCACCACUAGUGCACCAGAAACAUCUGCAACAUCAGAGACUUCCAUAAUCAUGACUCCUGAUGAAACAUCAACCACUAGUGCACCAGAAACAUCUACAAUGUCAGAGACUUCCACAAUCACGACACCUCAUGAAACAUUCAGCACUAGUGCACCAGAAACAUCUACAACAACAGAGACUUCAACAAAGACGACUCCUGAUGAAACAUUUACAACAAAAGAGACUUCCACAAUCAUGACUCCUGCUGAAGCAUCAACCACUAUNNNNNNNCUAGUGCACCAGAAACAUCUACUACAAAAGAGACUUCCACAAUCAGAACUACAGCUGAAAUAUCCACCAUAAGUGAAGCAGAAACAUCUACACCAACAGAGAGAUCCACAAUCACAACAGCUCCUGCUGAAACAUCCACCACUAGUGUAGCAGAAAUAUCUUCACCAACAGAGACUUUUACAAUCACAACAACUGCGGCUGAAACAUCCACCACUAAUGCAGUCGAAAGAUAUUCAACAACAGACACUUCCACUGUAAUGACUCCUACUGAAACAUCCUCAACUAGUACAGAAAAAACAUCUACAAUAACAGAGGCAUCCACAAUCCCAACUCCUGCUAAAACAUCCACAACUAGUGCAACACAAACACCUACAACAACAGACACUUCCACUGUAAUGACUCCUACUGAAAAAUCCACCACUAGUGCAGAAAAAACAUCUACAAUAACAGAGGCUUCCACAAUCACAACAACUUCUCCUGAAACAUCCACCACCAGUGCUGCAGAAACAUAUACAACGAGGGAGACUUCCACAAAAAUAACAACUCCUGCUGAAACACCCACCAUUAGUGCAACAGAAACAUCUACAACAACAGACACUUCCACUGUAAUGACUCCUACUGAAACAUCCUCAACUAGUGCAGAAAAAACAUCUACAAUAACAGAGGCUUCCACAAUCACAACUCCUGCUGAAACAUCCACUAUUAGUUUAGCAGAAACAUCUACAACAACAGAGACAUCCGCAAUCACAGCAACUCCUGCUGAAACAUCCACUGCUAGUGCAGCAGAAACAUCUUCAAUAACAGAGACUUCCACAAUUACUAUUCCUGCUGAAACAUCCACCACUAGUGAAGCAGAUAUAUCUAAAACAACAGAGACUUCCACAAUCACAACAAUUUCCGCUGAAACAUCCACUAUCAGUGCUGCAGAAACAUCUACAACCACAGAGACUUCUACAAUCACAACUGCUUCUGAAACAUCCACUACUAGUGUAGCAGAAACAUCUGCAACAAUGGAG